GUUGAACGCUGGCGGCAGGCUUAACACAUGCAAGUCGAACGAGUGGCGGACGGGAGAGUAAUGCUUGGGAAUCUAGCUUAUGGCGGGGGAUACCUACGGGAAACUGUAGCUAAUACCGCGUACCAUAGGAUGAGCCCAAGUGGGAUUAGGUAGUUGGUGAGGUAAAGGCUCACCAAGCCGACGAUCUAUAGCUGGUCUGAGAGGAUGACCAGCCACACGGGGACUGAGACACGGCCCAGACUCCUACGGGAGGCAGCAGUGGGGAAUAUUGCGCAAUGGGGGCAACCUGACGCAGCAAUGCCGCGUGAAUGAAGAAGGCCUUCGGGUUGUAAAGUUCUUUCGGUAGGGAGGCGUUAACUACAGAAGAAGCACCGGCUAACUACGUGCCAGCAGCCGCGGUAAUUC
rnacentral:rRNA from 1 species